CUAUGUUCAACUUUUUUCAGCAGGAAUUACAUAUCUGAACAAAGUUUCUUUGCAACAGGAGAAGCUGGGCGUGCGGAGCUGUUACACCAUUAUUGCCUUCAGACUGGGGAAGUGAUAUGUAGAACUGUGGUCCAAGAUUUCUCCAGAAGAGAAGAGGAAGACUUUGUACUGCCCAAGAGAGUGGUCCAGACACUGCUCAGAAAAAGGGAGGAAGUCACUAUCCAUCUGUCUUCGGUGGCUUGGAAGAUUCCAGCUUUCUGCACACUGGAGUUAGGGAGCCUGUGUUAACUUUUUGGUUUUUUUCUAACAAUAUUCCUUGUCAGUGAGGCACUUAGCCCAAUCAAGACAAUUUCUCAUAAUUUUCUGUUCAUUAAAACAUGC